rnacentral:rRNA from 1 species
AACGAACGCUGGCGGCAUGCCUAACACAUGCAAGUCGAACGAGACCUUCGGGUCUAGUGGCGCACGGGUGCGUAACGCGUGGGAACCUGCCCUUAGGUUCGGAAUAACUCCCCGAAAGGGGUGCUAAUACCGGAUAAUGUCUUCGGACCAAAGAUUUAUCGCCUUUGGAUGGGCCCGCGUUGGAUUAGCUAGUUGGUAGGGUAAAAGCCUACCAAGGCGACGAUCCAUAGCUGGGCUGAGAGGAUGAUCAGCCACACUGGGACUGAGACACGGCCCAGACUCCUACGGGAGGCAGCAGUGGGGAAUAUUGGACAGUGGGCGAAAGCCUGAUCCAGCAAUGCCGCGUGAGUGAUGAAGGCCUUAGGGUUGUAAAGCUCUUUUACCCGGGAUGAUAAUGACAGUACCGGGAGAAUAAGCUCCGGCUAACUCCGUG